rnacentral:rRNA from 1 species
UACGUAGGGUGCGAGCGUUAAUCGGAAUUACUGGGCGUAAAGGGCGCGCAGGCGGCAUACGUAGUCAGGCGUGAAAGCCCCGGGCUUAACCUGGGAAUUGCGUUUGAUACUCGUAAGCUGGAGUUCGGGAGAGGUUGGUGGAAUUCCCAGUGUAGAGGUGAAAUUCGUAGAUAUUGGGAAGAACACCGGUGGCGAAGGCGGGCGACCUGGUCCGAGACUGACGCUGAGGCGCGAAAGCGUGGGGAGCAAACAGG